rnacentral:rRNA from 1 species
GAUGAACGCUGGCGGCGUGCUUAACACAUGCAUGUCGAACGGUGAAGCAGGAGCUUGCUCUUGUGGAUCAGUGGCGAACGGGUGAGUAACACGUGAGCAACCUGCCCCUGACUCUGGGAUAAGCGCUGGAAACGGCGUCUAAUACUGGAUAUGUGAUGUGACCGCAUGGUCUGCAUCUGGAAAGAAUUUCGGUUGGGGAUGGGCUCGCGGCCUAUCAGCUUGUUGGUGAGGUAAUGGCUCACCAAGGCGUCGACGGUUAGCCGGCCUGAGAGGGUGACCGGCCACACUGGGACUGAGACACGGCCCAGACGCCUACGGGAGGCAGCAGUGGGGAAUAUUGCACAAUGGGCGGAAGCCUGAUGCAGCAACGCCGCGUGGGGGAUGACGGCCUUCGGGUUGUAAACCUCUUUUAGCAGGGAAGAAGCGAAAGUGACGGUACCUGCAGAAAAAGCACCGGCUAACUACGUGCCAGCCGCCGCAGUAA